rnacentral:rRNA from 1 species
GUGCCAGCAGCCGCGGUAAUACGUAGGGGGCAAGCGUUGUCCGGAAUUAUUGGGCGUAAAGCGCGCGCAGGCGGUCAUUUAAGUCUGGUGUUUAAUCCCGGGGCUCAACCCCGGAUCGCACUGGAAACUGGAUGACUUGAGUGCAGAAGAGGAGAGUGGAAUUCCACGUGUAGCGGUGAAAUGCGUAGAUAUGUGGAGGAACACCAGUGGCGAAGGCGACUCUCUGGGCUGUAACUGACGCUGAGGCGCGAAAGCGUGGGGAGCAAACAGGAUUAGAUACCCUGGUAGUCC